rnacentral:rRNA from 1 species
CGGGGGGGCAAGCGUUGUUCGGAAUUACUGGGCGUAAAGGGCGCGUAGGCGGCCAGACCAAGUCGAGUGUGAAAUUGCAGGGCUUAACUUUGCAGGUCGCUCGAUACUGGUCGGCUAGAGUGUGGAAGAGGGUGCUGGAAUUCCCGGUGUAGUCGGUGAAAUGCGUAGAUAUCGGGAGGAACACCAGUGGCGAAGGCGGGCACCUGGGCCGACACUGACGCUGAGGCGCGAAAGCUAGGGGAGCAAACAGGAUUAGAUACCCUGGUAGUCCUAGCCAUAAACGAUGAUGACUUGGUGUGUCGGGUUUGAGUCCCGAUGUGCCGGAGCUAACGCGUUAAGUCAUCCGCCUGGGGAGUACGGUCGCAAGACUG